AGAAAAAUGAGUAUUGGGCUGAUAGAUAUUGAUUAAUGUGAAAACUACGGCCACGCCUAUUUUUAUAUCUUUCUAUUAUUAUAAAAUUUACGGGCGCGAAAUUUCGUGACCAGCCCCAUUCUGACAAAGAAAAUUAUUCUAAAACCCGUAACUUAUAAAAUUGUGUUAUCGGUGUGAGAACCAAGUCUCGAUAGAAACCGUAACAGAUCUUCACGAUAUCAUUCUGUUUUGAGUGCAAAAAUGGAUUCGUCGUUUCAAUCCCAUCUGCUCCUGCAGCUCCACCAACUCCUCCUUAUCUUUAAAUCGAAGCCAUGAUUCAUCUUUCAGUAAUCAAUUUCUUCAAAUACUUCGAUUAAUGGCUCAAGCCGCUCGUGUUGAUGAUUAUCCUUCUCUUUCACCGCCACAACAACCGCCAUUAACAACCCGGCCGACAACAACAACCACAGAUCCAGUAGCAGAUCCGUAUGAAACUGAUGAUUUCCUUCGUAUCGAACUUGAUGGAUGGGAAGAUGACGAAGGAGAUGAGGAAAUUGAAUUUGGUAACACGGUCAGAAUUUUAGAGUUUGUGGUGGUGGACAUACAUACAUCACAGAAUUUUUUUUGUUACCUUGAGAUCACAAAACUCUGGAAAUUCGAGUCAGUGAACAGACGCCUGCAAGUAUUAAUUUACAUGGUGAGGAAAAUGGAAGAUAAGAAGAAUGCACUACCGGUUCAUGAAACCAAAUCCAGUGGAAUCGAAGAAUUAGCAAGUCUAAAAUAUCUUCAUGUGUUAGAAAUUACCCAUUUGGAAAAUUUGAAAGAUUUCGAAACAACAUAGUUCUGUUAUAGUCAGAUCUUCUGUGGCAAACAUGUUUGGCCUCUAUGAGAUUCUUGGUAAUCCAAGUGGUUCAAGCUGGGAGAUGAUUGGUGAUCCUAGUGCUCCAAUCUGGAAGAUGCUUGGUGAUCCAAGUGGUUCAAGAAGGAAGCAAUUCCAGCAACCUCGUCUCAUCACCGAACUAACCGUGGGAUUAGUAGUAGAAAAUCUGGGCUUCAUGACUCAAUUACUGGGGAUAUGAUUCCACAAUUGGUUAGUUCAUUUGCAAAAAUGGGUAUGAGUUGUUACUUAUUAGUUUUAGGCUCAGAAAUGGAUCUGGUGUUAUUUUAGGCCUCUAUUAUAAUAGAAUAUAUCUUAGAAAUGGAUCUGGUGUAUAUAAUUACUAGGUUGACUAUAACAGAAUGUAUUUUCUUAGAAUAUUCUUAGAAUUCCUUGGUAGUGAUUUCAAUGGAGAGAGCUUCUAUUAUCGGUACAAGGCAGGGAAGUGGUUGCUGUAGCCGGAAGGAGUGACCUGAAUUGCUGCACGUGUUUGAAAGAGAUGGUGUGAACUGGAGUUCGAUCAUUGGCUGUGCAAGAAAAGAAGAUAUUGCAUCUGGUGGUAUUUGUUGCUGACUCAGUCCAUAAUGGAAGGACACACAACAACAUGUUGAUGAAGAUGUUGUUGUGGCUCGAGUGCUAUGUACAGGGAAGACGAGUUACUGCUGAUGUCAUUGCAGUAUGACUGUUCUCACUAGAGUAAAGUGGUGAUUGUUAUGCAUGUGAAACACGGAUUACUGUUGUGCAAUACAGAAAGAAAAGCAAAUAAUAUGUUAUGCA